UUCCAAUAUAUAUUUUUCUUCAAUCCCCUUUCUGAUUUAAGUAUCGGAGGGGCGACGAGAACACAUCUUGUUGCCUUUGUUUCAGGUAUCGAAAGAUUGCGUCUGUGCUUGUUAUCAGUCCUCAUCCUCGAUAUCUACAAGGUACGAUUUUUGGCAACCUCACAUGGGAAAGGGCCCCCACACCCAAUAAAUGCUUGCGGCUGACCUCUCAUGUGAGGGGGCGUGCACACCAGAGUGUACUCCCCGUGUUCGUGUAGCUGAACCCUUCUCUAAAUGUAUGACCUAAUCAUCGUCUCACUUGUUUAGAUUGAUCAAAAUUGAGCGUGUAUUUAUUGCAUAGUGAAAAUGAAAAGUAAGAUAUUAUUGAAAAUUCACAUAUUUUCCUAGCAAUUCUCAAUGGUGUCGCGCGUGACGUCUAGAAAGGUGCCUCAACUCUUCGACAAUUUUGAUAGUUUUAAUGGUAAUAAUUAAUUUAAAUUUAAAAUUAAAAGUCACAAAUGAUAGGUUGCAACUCUACGUGACAAGGUAUAUUAAAAUCUAAGAAUAAUUAUGUCAAUGAUCACUAAAAUUUUGAGUACUUAUGUUAAUGGCAACUAAUAUGUUAUACGAUAAUAAUCACUCAAGUUUAUAACCAUUACACGAAUAGUCACUCGAUAAAAAAAUAAUAUUAAGUCCUGUUUGAUGGUUAUUAUUUGACCAAAACAAAGUUUUGAAUUGAGAUUUUGAGGAGACUGUAUGAUUGAAAAAAAAAAAUUUGAGUUUACGUACAAAAUAUUUUUAUUAUUUGAAUAUAUGGUUGAAUAUGAAUAUGUAAAAAAAGAUAAAAAAUAAAAAAAUAAAAAAAAAUCCAUCAAGUGCCUACGAGUCACCGAGUGUAUACUUUGUCAUAUUGCAAAGACAAAUUAUAGAUCUCGAGUAUGGACACCUACUUUCUUUGGUAUUCGAGUUUGUUUUUUUAAUUACACAACACACAAAUUAUUGAGGUAUCAUUGUAUUUUGGAGAGGUAUUUUGUGUUCUCGAAGCGGAUCAUAGAAUUGGUGACGGCAAUUAACGCAAAAGCAAUCAUGUAACAUGCGUUGCAUUAAAGUCGAUAUUGAUGAAGUUCGAGUUUUCUGAAAUUUUCCAAAUUCUUCUACUAUUGGUCUCUAGUAUUAUGGAAGACAUCCACCCAAUAGUAUCCAUAUCAAAUUCACGACAUCUCUUAUUCGCAGUGCCAAAUAUCAUAUUUGGUGCAUUUGUAGCGAUCUCGUAAAAAUUACGGGAUGGAGACGAUGGAAUUAGUCGAAAAUUUUUCUUUCUUUCUUUUUUUACCGUAUUUCGUUUAGAGGGUUGAAGGGAAAUAUUCCAUCCUAAAUCAAAAAGAAAUUUACUAUUUGUACACUAAUUUUUGAUACUUUGAUUGACACUUAUAUUGUUGUCAAGUGUCAAUUGGAUAAAAAAAAAUUUUGAUAUUUAAACUGUUCAAUAGGAUAAUGUCAUGUGACAAAAUGUAAAUUAAAGUGUACAUCACAUUGUACAUAUAACAAGGUUUAAUAAAAAAUGUCUAACAAAAAAAUGAUCUAAUGAGUAUUAGUGCAUAGCUUAUGUUGAUUAUAGAUAAUAUGACACGCUAAUUAAUUGGUGCAAAUCAUUUCUCAUCUCCAACCAACCAAAAGAAUAAUAAUUAAACAAUUAAUUACCAACAUACGUGUAUUAGGAGGAGAUCCCUUUUGUCCCCUUCGACUUUAGACACGUGAAAUAACACAAUAGGUCAGGAUUUAGGAGAAGACUUUAGUUCAUAACUAAUUAAGAGAACAUUUUAGGUAGAUGAAGUGUUAGUAUCUAGCUGUUAUCAAAUAGAAUUCAAUGUCUGCCAUUUUUAAUUCUUCUUCAUGUUUUUUUCUUCUUCUUCUCCUCC
rnacentral:lncRNA from 1 species